rnacentral:tRNA from 4 species
GGGGAUGUAGCUCAGCGGGAGAGCACCUGCCUUGCACGCAGGGGGUCGGCGGUUCAAAUCCGCUCAUCUCCACCA